rnacentral:rRNA from 1 species
UACGUAGGGGGCAAGCGUUGUCCGGAUUUACUGGGCAUAAAGAGCGUGUAGGCGGCCACGCAGGUCCGUUGUGAAAACUGGAGGCUCAACCUCCAGCUGUCGACGGAAACCGUAUGGCUAGAGUCCGGAAGAGGAGAGUGGAAUUCCUGGUGUAGCGGUGGAAUGCGCAGAUAUCAGGAGGAACACCAAUAGCGAAGGCAGCUCGCUGGGACGGUACUGACGCUGAGGCGCGAAAGCUAGGGGAGCAAACAGG